rnacentral:rRNA from 1 species
GAUGAACGCUGGCGGCGUGCUUAACACAUGCAAGUCGAACGGAAAGGCCCUGCUCUUGUGGGGUGCUCGAGUGGCGAACGGGUGAGUAACACGUGAGUAACCUGUCCCUGUCUUUGGGAUAUCUUCAGGAAACUGGGGCUAAUACCGGAUAGGAGCUCCUGCUGCAUGGUGGGGGUUGGUAAGUUUCGGCGGUUGGGGAUGGACUCGCUGCUUAUGAGCUUCUUGGUGAGGUAGUGGAUUACCAAGGCUAUGACGGGUAGCCGGCAUGGGAGGUGGGACGGCGACAAUGGGACUGAGAUACGCACCAGACGCCUACGGGACGCAGCAGUGGGGAAUAUUGCGCAGUGAGCGGAAGCCAGAUGCAGCAGCGCCGCGUGCGGGAUGACGGCCUUCGGGUUGUAAACCGCUGUCGCCUGUGACGAAGCGUUAGUGACGGUAAUGGGUAAAGAAGCACCGGCUAACUACGUG